GACGAACGCUGGCGGCGCGCUUAACACAUGCAAGUCGAACGGAAAGGCCUGCUUUCCCUUGUGGAUUGCGGGUACUCGAGUGGCGAACGGGUGAGUAACACGUGAGUGAUCUGCCCCCAACUUGGGUAUAAGCCUGGGAAACUGGGUCUAAUUCCCGAUAGGACUGCAGGGUGGUGCCUGUGGUGGAAAACGAUUUUCUAGUGGUUGGGGAUGAGCUCGCGGCCUAUCAGCUUGUUGGUGGGGUAAUGGCCUACCAAGGCGGCGACGGGUAGCCGGCCUGAGAGGGUGGACGGCAGCAUUGGGACUGGGAUACGGCCCAGACUCCUACGGGAGGCAGCAGUGGGGAAUAUUGCACCAUGGGCGGAAGCCUGAUGCAGCGACGCGGCGUGGGGGAUGACGGCCUUCGGGUUGUAAACUCCUUUCGACCGCGAGGAAGCCACCUGGUUGGAAGGGUGGUGACGGUAGUGGUAGAAGAAGCACCGGCUAACUACGUG
rnacentral:rRNA from 1 species